CGGGCAGGGGAGAGUGAAGUGGCUGAGCGUGGGGGCGGGGCGGGCGGACGGAAUCUGCUGUCCCCGACUAGAGCCUUGUUUACCUCCACGGCCGCUCGUCUAGGACAAGAUGGCGUCAGUCUGGGAUGAGGCUGAGGACGGUGUUGGCGAGGAGGUGCUGAAGAUGUCCACAGAGGAGAUUGUGCAGCGAACCCGCCUGCUCGACAGCGAGAUCAAGAUAAUGAAGAGUGAGGUGCUGAGAGUUACCCAUGAGCUGCAGGCCAUGAAAGAUAAGAUCAAAGAGAACAGUGAGAAGAUCAAAGUGAACAAAACCCUGCCUUACCUUGUUUCCAAUGUCAUUGAGCUACUGGAUGUUGACCCCAAUGACCAGGAAGAGGAUGGAGCAAAUAUUGAUCUAGAUUCCCAGAGGAAGGGCAAGUGUGCUGUGAUUAAAACCUCCACUCGCCAGACAUAUUUCCUGCCUGUGAUCGGGUUAGUUGAUGCAGAGAAGCUAAAGCCUGGAGACCUAGUGGGUGUGAACAAAGACUCUUACUUGAUCCUGGAGACCCUACCUACUGAAUAUGACUCACGAGUGAAAGCCAUGGAGGUGGAUGAGAGGCCCACAGAGCAGUACAGCGACAUCGGGGGGCUGGAUAAACAGAUCCAAGAGCUAGUGGAGGCCAUUGUCCUGCCAAUGAAUCAUAAGGAGAAGUUUGAAAACCUGGGUAUCCAGCCCCCCAAAGGAGUGCUCAUGUAUGGGCCACCUGGAACAGGGAAGACCCUCUUAGCUAGAGCAUGUGCUGCCCAGACAAAGGCAACAUUCCUGAAGCUGGCUGGCCCACAGUUGGUGCAGAUGUUCAUUGGUGAUGGCGCCAAGCUGGUGCGAGAUGCCUUUGCGCUGGCCAAGGAGAAAGCUCCUUCUAUCAUCUUCAUUGAUGAGCUGGAUGCCAUUGGCACCAAGAGAUUUGACAGCGAGAAGGCUGGAGACCGGGAAGUGCAGAGGACCAUGCUGGAGCUUCUGAACCAACUUGAUGGAUUCCAACCCAACACACAAGUCAAGGUGAUAGCUGCAACCAACCGUGUGGAUAUCCUGGACCCUGCUCUGCUCCGGUCUGGACGCCUAGAUCGCAAAAUUGAGUUCCCGAUGCCCAAUGAAGAGGCCAGAGCUAGGAUUAUGCAGAUCCAUUCACGCAAGAUGAAUGUCAGCCCUGAUGUGAAUUACGAGGAGCUGGCUCGCUGCACAGAUGACUUCAAUGGAGCACAGUGUAAGGCUGUCUGUGUGGAAGCAGGGAUGAUCGCACUUCGGCGUGGAGCCACAGAGCUCACCCAUGAGGACUACAUGGAAGGAAUCCUGGAGGUUCAAGCCAAGAAAAAAGCCAAUCUGCAAUACUAUGCCUAAUCUCUGCACUGCUAUCAGGCAGAGUCCCCAGACUGGUGGCCAGGACCCAGGCAGUGUGAGUGCCACUGAAAAUCAGCUCGCGUGCUGCCUUUGGCACGCGUGCCAUAGGUUGUCUAUCCCAAUCUAGUCUGACCAGCUACAUAACACAGGACAAAGAACCUCAUCUGAUAAUUUCUGCAUCAAGCCCAUACACCAUGGCUCGACCAGAAGGAACAGCCGCCACAGCUGCACAUUAGAGAGGAUUCAGAGAUGAAGCCCAGCGCCACAGUGAGUCAUUCCAUCUUCUGUUGUACAGGGGCUAUGGGGACUUGAACCACAGCUGGAGGACACAAUCAAAACUACUCGAACAUUUGGUUUUUGCUAUUUAUUUUCAUUUUGUGCCUAAGUCAAGGAGAUUCUCCUCCCACCCCCUACUCGUCCAUGUUAAUAAAUAUCUCUUGGGUCAGUAAA